rnacentral:rRNA from 1 species
CCUACGGGAGGCAGCAGUGGGGAAUAUUGGACAAUGGGCGCAAGCCUGAUCCAGCCAUGCCGCGUGAGUGAUGAAGGCCUUAGGGUUGUAAAGCUCUUUUGCCAGGGAAGAUAAUGACUGUACCUGGAGAAUAAGCCCCGGCUAACUUCGUGCCAGCAGCCGCGGUAAUACGAAGGGGGCUAGCGUUGUUCGGAAUCACUGGGCGUAAAGCGCACGUAGGCGGACUUUUAAGUCAGGGGUGAAAGCCUGAGGCUCAACCUCAGAACUGCCCUUGAUACUGGGAGUCUUGAGUAUGGUAGAGGUUGGUGGAACAGCAAGUGUAGAGGUGAAAUUCGUAGAUAUUUGCUAGAACACCAGUGGCGAAGGCGGCCAACUGGACCAUAACUGACGCUGAGGUGCGAAAGCGUGGGGAGCAAACAGGAUUAGAUACCCUGGUAGUCCACGCCGUAAACGAUGGAUGCUAGCCGUUAGCCAGCUUGCUGGGUAGUGGCGCAGGUAACCCUUUAAGCAUCCCGCCUGGGGAUCGGUCGCAAGAUUAAAACUCAAAGGAUUGACGGCUGAGACGNGCGACGACGACGACGAGGGAGGAGG